GAGUUUGAUCCUGGUUCAGAUUGAACGCUGGCGGCAUGCCUUACACAUGCAAGUCGAACGGUAACAGGUCUUUCGGGAUGCUGACGAGUGGCGAACGGGUGAGUAAUACAUCGGAACGUGCCUAGUAGUGGGGGAUAACUACUCGAAAGAGUGGCUAAUACCGCAUGAGAUCUAUGGAUGAAAGCAGGGGACCUUCGGGCCUUGUGCUACUAGAGCGGCCGAUGGCAGAUUAGGUAGUUGGUGGGAUAAAAGCUUACCAAGCCUACGAUCUGUAGCUGGUCUGAGAGGACGAUCAGCCACACUGGGACUGAGACACGGCCCAGACUCCUACGGGAGGCAGCAGUGGGGAAUUCUGGACAAUGGGGGAAACCCUGAUCCAGCAAUGCCGCGUGCAGGAUGAAGGCCGUCGGGUUGUAAACUGCUUUUGUACGGAACGAAAAGUCUUGGGUUAAUACCCUGGGAUCAUGACGGUACCGUAAGAAUAAGCACCGGCUAACUACGUGCCAGCAGCCGCGGUAAUAC
rnacentral:rRNA from 1 species